UGGGGAAUAUUGCACAAUGGGGGAAACCCUGAUGCAGCGACGCCGCGUGAACGAAGAAGGUAUUCGUAUCGUAAAGUUCUGUCCUAUGGGAAGAUAAUGACAGUACCAUAGAAGAAAGCUCCGGCUAAAUACGUGCCAGCAGCCGCGGUAAUACGUAUGGAGCGAGCGUUGUCCGGAAUUAUUGGGCGUAAAGGGUACGCAGGCGGUUUAAUAAGUCGAAUGUUAAAGAUCGGGGCUCAACCCCGUAAAGCAUUGGAAACUGAUAAACUUGAGUAGUGGGGAGGAAAGUGGAAUUCCUAGUGUAGUGGUGAAAUACGUAGAUAUUAGGAGGAAUACCAGUAGCGAAGACGACUUUCUGGACACAAACUGACGCUGAGGUACGAAAGCGUUGGGAGCAAACAGG
rnacentral:rRNA from 1 species